UACGAAGGGGGCUAGCGUUGCUCGGAAUCACUGGGCGUAAAGGGUGCGUAGGCGGGUCUUUAAGUCUGGGGUGAAAUCCUGGAGCUCAACUCCAGAACUGCCUUUGAUACUGAGGAUCUUGAGUAUGGGAGAGGUGAGUGGAACUGCGAGUGUAGAGGUGAAAUUCGUAGAUAUUCGCAAGAACACCAGUGGCGAAGGCGGCUCACUGGCCCAUUACUGACGCUGAGGCACGAAAGCGUGGGGAGCAAACAGG
rnacentral:rRNA from 1 species